rnacentral:rRNA from 1 species
AUUGAACGCUGGCGGCAUGCCUUACACAUGCAAGUCGAACGGCAGCACGGGAGCAAUCCUGGUGGCGAGUGGCGAACGGGUGAGUAAUAUAUCGGAACGUGCCCAGUAGUGGGGGAUAACUGCUCGAAAGAGCAGCUAAUACCGCAUACGACCUGAGGGUGAAAGGGGGGGAUCACAAGACCUCUCGCUAUUGGAGCGGCCGAUAUCAGAUUAGCUAGUUGGUGGGGUAAAGGCCUACCAAGGCAACGAUCUGUAGUUGGUCUGAGAGUACGACCAGCCACACUGGGACCGAGGCACGGCCCAGACUCCUACGGGAGGCAGCAGUGGGGAAUCUUGGACAAUGGACGCAAGUCUGAUCCAGCCAUGCCGCGUGCGGGAAGAAGGCCUUCGGGUUGUAAACCGCUUUUGUCAGGGAAGAAACGCUCUGGGUUAAUACCUCGGGGUAAUGACGGUACCUGAAGAAUAAGCACCGGCUAACUACGUGCCAGCAGCAGCCGCAGUAA